UAAUUGAUAAAUAUCAAAAACCCAAAUGGCCCAGUGUGUGUGUUAUCACGUGGGCAUUGUUGUCUUAUGUUAACUAGGUUUUAUAUAUAUAUGUUGCUCCCGCCAUGUAUUCAGGCCCAGACUUGAGAUUUUGAGGCCUAAGUCGAACUUCUAGAAUUGGGUCCCUAAUUUUUUUUUUAUAUAUAUAUAAAAUAGCAUAUAACAUCCAAAAAUAUAUAGGAUUUUUAUGCAAAAUAUUUAUUAUGCAAAUAAGAUUCCAAAACCUUAAUGGUUUAGUAAUCCUAAUUGUAUUAUAAAUCCAAUCUAUACAACAAUAUCUUACCUAAUCGUGUUUGGCUACUUCUAUUUAAUAUUUUAACUUUUUUUUACGGGUACAAAUUUAAAGUAGUAAAUAGUAAUUGAUGGUUUGGUCCCCUCAUCAUAUGUAAUUGUCUUUGUUUUAGGAUAGUUGUCUUUAAUUCAUGUCAGAUUGCAUAGCCAAAAAACUAUUAAUUUUUUUUUUUAAGACAACUAAUAUUUUUGGGCCCUUCAAAUUUUUGGGCCCUGAGUCCCAAGCCUCUUGUGCCUUUAUUCAAAUCCGGGCCUGCAUGUAUUGGUGGGUGAGGAAUUUGUAAUCAAACCUAGGUUGUUCUCUAUCAUCAACAGGGAACAAUAGUAUUUAGGGUUUGGGUUGUUUGAGAGUUUAUUAAAAGCUCUAUUGUACUUCCUCUAAUUGUUAUAGUAGAAAUUUUUCGUCGGCACUGAAAGUGGACGGAGCCCAAUCACAUUGAUUGGGUUAACCACUAUAAAUUAUGUGUCAUUGUUUAUCUUUUCUCUUAUUUGUUCCAUUUAAUAUUCGGUUUGUUUGCGCUUCCGCAUAACAAACUGAUUUUGUGAUUAUUGUUCUCAAAGCGUAAGUAUGGAGGAGUUAGAUUUUGUGAUACUAAGAAAAAAGAAAUAUGUGUUUUUUUGUAAAAAGAAAAAAAAAUUAAAAAAGUUGUGCGGCAAAAGGAAAUAGAAGAAAAGUACAAAGUUUUGAUCUCAUUUCGAAAGUGAAAAAGGAAAUUGUUUACAAGUGAAGACCGGAAGGCAAAAUUUGGAAAUCUACCUCUACGAAUCAGAAGAGUUAGACAGGGAGACGAGCACAAAACGAACUAGAUGAUGAGCCUUAUACAGAUAGAAAGCUACGGAAGUCUUCUUUCUAUAGCUUUUUCCAGUAUGUAAAUUAGGGUUUCAAUUUUGUACAUGCUGGAACUUUGUCUUGAGUUAGGGUUUAUGAAUUUCAUGACCAACUCUUGAUGUGUUGAAAUAGGCAGUUGUUAGAUUAUCCUCUUAAUCACAAUUUCAACCAUUUUUGUCACAUUACACUAGUAGACAAAAAGGCUUAAGCAACAAGUACUUUCACAUUUCGUCGCUUAAACAACUCCUAAGCGACGAAAACAGAUAUCGUCGCUGAAGAUAAAUUUUUCGUCGCUAAAAUUUUCUGGGGCGACAAAAAUUUUCUAAGCUUCGUCGCCACAGGUCCUACUAAGGCGACAAAAUUCUUUUGUCGCAAAUUAUUUAUGUAGCGACGAAAAAGUUAACACUUAAGCGACAAAUAAGUUUGUCACAUUACAUCCUUAACCUAACCGACAAAUUUACAUUUCGUCGUUUUAGUUUUAGUUUAAAGCGACGGAACUUUUGGCUCUUGAGCGACGAAAUUGUUUGUCGCAUUAUAUCCUUAACCUAACCGACAAAUUUACAUUUUGUCGCUUUAGUUUUAGUCUAAAGCGACUGAACUUUUGGCUCUUGAGCGACGAAAUUUUUGUCGCAUUAUAUCCUUCACCUAACCGACGAAUUGACUUUCGUCGUUUGAAUUUAAGACUAAAGCGACGGAACUUUAUUUUGUAGCGACGAAAGUGCUUGUCGCAUAAUAUCAUUAACCUAAGCGACAAAAUUUUUGACUUGCUUAAAUGAAAUCUUCUUUAUAUCCAAGUGUACAUCUUUGUGAACCAACUAUAUAUAGGAAGCAAUAUUUUCAAAAACCUUGUGAAAUAGGAUGUGAUCGGUAUGAUGAAAUACAGCUUUGGUUGAAAAAUCAUAUAUUUUCGAUAAUGUUUGGUCCUCGAUAUAAGCGGUCAACCCUAUUUACGCUUAUGUUUCCCUAUGGGAAGUCUUAUCGUCGGGAGCUGAACGUCCCUAAAUUUUUACAUAAGUGGUUAGAUCUCAUCAAUGUGUGAGUUUUGUGUGUGGAAGAAUCAACCAAACUAGGCCAUAUAAAGGUAUGUAAGAGCGUUUUUGUGUAAUAAGUGGUUUUGGUUUAGGUUUGACCGUGUGGAUCGAGACCCAAACUUUAUCGAAAACAUGUGAAUUUUUUUUCAUAGCCGUAUUUAAGUAUAUUGAUCAUAUCAUACAGUUAAAUUUUCAUUUUUUGAAAUUUAGUCAUCAGAACCGCAACGUGAGAGUGUACAUCUUUGUGAACCAACUAUAUAUAGGAAGCAAUAUUUAGAUUUCCAGAAAGUCUACUUUUCUUUGAUUUCUCUUAUAUUAAUGGUAGACAUUUCUUAUGAAAAAAGUAGUUGUGUCUUAUAUUAAAUGUAGACUUUUCAUCUUUUACCUUGGUUUGCUUCAAUCUCAAGAACAAUUUUGAUUUCCAGAAAGUCUACUUUUCUUUGAUUUCUCUUAUGUUAAUGGUAGACAUUUCUUAUGAAAAAAGUAGUUGUCUUAUGUUAAAUGUAGACUUUUCAUCUUUUACCUUCCAUUAUUGAUUCAAUCUCAAGAACAAUUUAGAUUUCCAGAAAGUCUACUUUUCUUUGAUUUCUCUUAUGUUAAUGGUAGACAUUUAUAAUGAAAAUAGUAGAGGUGUCUUAUGUUAAAUGUAGACUAUGUAUCUUUUACCUUGGGUUGCUUCAAUCUCAAGAACAAUUUAGAUUUCCAGAAAGUCUACUUUUCUUUGUUUUCUCUUAUGUUAAUGGUAGCCAUUUCUUUUAGAAAAAAAGUUGUUGUGUCUUAUGUUACAUGUAGACUUUGCUAUUUUUUACCUUGGUUAAUUUGCUUCAAUCUCAAGAACAAUUUUAAUUUUACCANNNNNNNNNNNNNNNNNNNNCAACUUUCACUUUCCAUUAUUGAUUCAAUCUCAAGACAAUUUUGAUUUCCAGAAAGUCUACUUUUUUGUGAUUUUGCUUAUCUAAAUGGUAGACAUUUCUUAUGAAAAUAGUGGUUGUGUCUUAUGUUAAAUGUAAACUUUGCAACUUUGCAACUUUCACUUAUAAUUAUUGAUUCAAUCUCAAGAACAAUUUUGAUUUCCAGAAAGUCUACUUUUCUUUGAUUUCUCUGAUGUUAAUGGUAGCCAUUUUUUAUGAAAAAUGUAGUUGUGUCUUAUGUUAAAUGUAAACUUUGCAACUUUUGCCUUCAUUGAGUUUAUUCUCAAGAGAGCAUACAAGAGGCAUUAGUUUCUUGCAACGAGAUCAAUUUUAGUAAAAAAUUGACAUAUCGAUGAGACAAGAGAGAGAGAUCGACGAGACAAAAGUAGUUCAAAUUAGUUUGUAGUAGUAGAGAGAGAGAGAGAAAGAGAGAGAAAGAGAGAGAAACUAACCCCGUUAGUGAGAGAGUGAGAGUUAGUUUGAGAUUUAAAUUGGAUGAUCAGUCAAACAGGUAGCAGGUCAUCAUUAAUCUAGUUGGACCAAUCAUAAGUAACCAUGUGGUUAAGGUAUCCAUACCUUAAGGCACACAAGUAUUUGCCAAAAAAUAUUCCACAGAAUAUUCUUAUUUUUUAAGCUAAAUUUGGCUAAGAAUUUAGCCUACCAUAGAAGAUGCUCUUAGCACUAUAGCCCCUCGAAACCCAUUUUUUAUCUAACAUAGCCUCCCAUUAGAGUUGGUUUUAUUCAAAAUUUAGGCUAUAUCAAGUCAUUAGCCCUUCAUUAGAGAUGGCCUUACGAACCCUAAAGGCCCUGAACCAUUCUACAAUGGAAUAAAUAUACAUAAACUCUAAAGCCAAAUAUGAUCCCCAUCACAUCCCAUCAUAUUAUAUCGUUGAAUCUCUUUCAGACUCGAUCAUUAGCCUCGCCUCCCCCUGAAGCGGCGGCGUACGUACGGCCCCCUCCCCGUCCCAUUAAGGUGCCCUGUAUCACACUGCAGGUAGAGUACUCAGUACUGUAGAGAAAGACUGACAUGCAGGCCCUUAAAUUUCAUGGCACUCAAAUCAUUCGAAUCGAAUUCAACUUAGCUAUCAUGUUCUUCGAAUGUCGUUAGUGAAUUAUUGACUGCUUUAACUCCAUCUCUCUCGCUUCACCAACUUGGCCAUCUCUCUGUGUCUGUUUGCUUUUUUCCGUUCAAGUUUUUGGUUUCCCGUACCUCGCAGGUCAUGCGCUAAAUUUCCGUUCUUCUUUCUGGUUUCGUUCGUUUCCUUCCCAUCGUGUGUCUCUUCUUUUCAGGCAACCCUUUGGUAUUAUGGCAACCAAACCCUAGUUGGUUUUCUCAGUUUUUGCUUUAGGGUUAAUGCUGUAACAGUGAAAGCUAUGACUUCAUUCACUCACUGCUCUAUAGCCUUUGGAAACUGGAUCACUAGUAUCUAUCUACACCACACUGGCUGUCAUGUCCAUGCUAAUUUGCUACUGUAUCGAUCAUUGUCAAUCAAUUCAGAGUCCUCGUCUGUCAUCGGAAUAUGAAAUGCGAGAUCUAGGCCUGCAUUUCCGUUUCAGCCAUUAAUAUUCAGAAUUUUGAUCCUUUCAUUUACUCUAGAAAUAAAUAAGCGAGGCAUCACCCUAAUUUCUAUGUCAUGAGUCAAUUUCCUGCCUAUUGACCAUUCUCUGUGUUAAAUAUCAUGAUUCAUGAGUCAUAGAAGCAAUCUAGUCUUAUCCAUGUGGACUACUCCAUAUAUACCAUGAUAGCAAAGUCAAUUAGCUUCUUAAUUAUAAUGCUGUUAGAAUCAUGGAGUAUAUAGGGAUGUAAUUAUGGGUUGAAAUCACCUGUGCCGAAAAAAUCCAAUGUCAAACCUGUGCCGCUUCUCACAUAAUGACACGUGUCUUACAAUUUAACGGGACACAAUUUUAUUAACUUUUCUUAUUAUUAAUUUUAUCUUUCAAUAAAGAGAGAAAAAAAAACGCUAAAGAGGUUGACUUUGCUUCUUCCUCCUCUCUUCAUAUUUGUAAUCUUCUUCUUUUUCUUCUUUCUCUCUUCUCUCUACAACAAACCCAGAAUAUUCAUUCCUCUGCAUCCCUCUGUAACAAACCAAGAAUAUUUCGUUCCAUACCCUACAACCAACUGGUGUUUCAUAUUUUGUUCAAAUUCCACAAGGACCCACCAAUUUCUUUCUUACUAAUAUUCAUUCCUCUAAAUCAACUGGUAAUCAAUAUUGUAGAUGACACUAAUCAUAAGAAAGGAGAGUAAAUUAAAAUUCUUUUACUUGAAUAUCAGAUGCGAGAUGUGACGGAUAACCCAUCAGCUAUAACCCACCUCAAACUAAAUCCAACCAAAAAUCUGGUUUCCCACAUGCUAUUUGAAUCCCAAAGCCACUGUCUUGUUCAUCGCAGAGAGUCGGGGUCUGCAUUAAAAGAAAUAUCCUUAACAUGUAUGGAUCUAAUUUACAGGUCUGCAGUGGAAUAAAGGAAGGGAAGAAUGUAGAAGAAAGAGGAUAGAUUGUUAAUUUUCUUUUGUCUCUUACAUUUUGAUCUGGACAUCUAAAAAGAAAGAAUAGAUCUGGAAACAGGUGUUCUGGGGAAAACACGAACAGCUAAUUUUUUUUUUUUUAGUUGUAAUUGUCAUUUUCAAUUUUAGUAACGGAGUUGUGCCCUGUUAAAGUUGAAGACAUGUGUUUAAGAGGCGGCGCAGGUUCAACUCAACAUAGGGUUUUUGGACCCAUGUAACUAUGUGUAAGGUUAAUGAUUCCUCAUUUUGAUUAGCAGAUUAAUUGGUUUGUGUGGGUGACUAGUCGACGGAGUUAUUCUAUAUGCGUGCUGGGACACCAAGGCAUAUUCCAUGUCUUUUGACCGAUGACUUAUCACCCUUACUUACGAAAACUUGAGUAGACCAAUUCUAUAUGGUUUUUUCGGUUCAUAAGACCUGGUUUCGUUCGCCGGAAAAGAAAGUUAAUCACCUGUUGGUAGAACCUUAAUGCCAGUAUUAUAACUUGUACGUUUGAGAGAUUCGGUAUCAACAAUUCAAACCACCGUAUUUAAAGAGGCCAAAAGUUAAGAAAUAAAUCAAGCAUUCAAACACAAACGAUUGUCAUUACUAAUUAAACUCACGAUAGACUAGUUUUAGUAUUCGACUCUAGACACUCAUGACAUGGGCCAAGAUGGCCAUGAUAACAUGAUAGAACACUCACCAAUUUUCUUCUAAACAGGUUGAAUUAGGGCUGCCACUCGGUCGGUUGGAAUCGGUAAUGGGCGUUACCAACUUCAAAACCAAAACUUUCGGUAAUGAAAUAUGACUUUCAAUUACCAAACCAAAAACUUCGGUAUGAGAUAAAUCUUACCAACUUCGGAUGUCGGUUUUUCGGUAUUACCAAAUUUCACAACAAAUAUAUUUUCAAAAUAUAACAAAACAAUACAAAACUAUAAAAUUUAAAUAUCACUUGAGUUUCUAGAGUCUGAUAAUACAUAUACAAAAGAUAGUUUCAGUACACAUUAUCGAGUAUGGUUUAAUUUUCUACCGAAAUAGUCAAGAUGUAAAUGUUUCCAAAUUUUUAUAUGAACAAGUUAUGUGUCAUCUAUGUGAAAGUAUGUGUGUGGAAGAGUCGACCAAAAUAAGUCACAUAAGGGCAGUAAAAGCUUUUUCAUGUAAUAAGUGACGUUAAAUUAUGGUUGACCGCUUUGAUUAAGACCCGAGCAUUAUUGAGUACAAUUGAAUUUUCUAUCAUAAUUGUAUUAUACUAUAAUGAUCACAUCAGACGGUCGAAUUUUAAUUUUGUGAAUUGUAAUCAUUGGAACCACAACAUGCCUGGUAAUGUGGUAUAACUUAUUUAGUAAGUUAUAUGCAUAUGUACAUCUUUGUGAACCAACUACAGAGAGGAAGCAAAAUUUUCAAAAACCUUGUGAACUAUGAUGUGAUCAAUAUAGUGAAAUACGACUAUGGUAGAAAAAUUAGGUAUUUUUAUAAUUUUUUGGCCUUGAUCAAGGCGGCUAACCCUAUUUACGUUUGUGCUUCCUAUGGGGAGCCCUAUCAUCAAGAGAGGUAAAAACAUUCCUAAAUUUUUACAUGGGCGGUUACAUGUCAUCUAAGUGGGUUUGUCUAUGUGUGUGUGUGAUGAAUCGACUAAAACGGGUAGGUAAGAGCGUUUUUAUAUAACAAGUAACAUUGAAUUAAAGUUGAUCGCUUUAAUUGAGACCCGAAUGCUACCAAGUAUAGUUGAAUUUUUCUAUUCAUUGUCUUGUUUUUUACUAAAUGGUAUAUACAAUUGAAAACGUGAGAUAAGAUUAUUAAUCUGUGUGUUUUUAGAAAUAUAAGUCUUUAAAUAAUUAGAAUUUCGGUAAAUUCGGUAUUUACCAAAAACCAAACCAAC
rnacentral:lncRNA from 1 species